GUCAUUGGAUAGGGCUAUCUGACGAAAUAGUUGAAGGCAUUUGGAAAUGGUAUAGCACUGAUAAAGUUACCAACUACACAGACUGGUAUCCGGGACAACCUGACCUUGGGUCCAGAGCAAAUUGUGCAAAUAUCUUAAGCAGUCCACCCUAUGCUUACCAAUGGCUGGAUGAUGAUUGCACAUAUAAAUUCCGACCAAUCUGUGAGAGAGGAUUAGACACGGAGACAUCAAUUGUCGGAAAGUGAUCUGUUUUAAGCUGUUUGUUUGGCUCAAAAAUAAUAAUGCAAUAAUAAAUAAAUUUGCAUCAG